rnacentral:rRNA from 1 species
AUACGGAGGGUGCAAGCGUUACUAGGAAUCACUGGGCGUAAAGCGCGCGCAGGCGGUCUUUUAAGUUGGAUGUGAAAGCCUACGGCUCAACCGUAGAACUGCAUCCAAAACUAUUAGACUAGAGUGUGGGAGAGGAAGAUGGAAUUAGUUGUGUAGGGGUAAAAUCCGUAGAGAUAACUAGGAAUACCAAAAGCGAAGGCAAUCUUCUGGAACACUACUGACGCUGAGGCGCGAAAGCGUGGGGAGCAAACAGGAUUAGAAACCCUAGUAGUCC